GAACGUCUUUACCCUAACUUCUUUUACUUUUUUUCUCUUUCCCUCAACUAGUAGUCCAGAACUUCCAUGGCAAUCCCGUCUAGGCUUCAGGGCUGACUAAAACUUCACCUUCGAGUCUCACUCAGUGAAUCAGCUUUCGGUCCUCUCAAGCUCUUUUAUUUAUCCAGAUAUGCUGCAAAAUGAGAUUUUUAUCAAUGUUCAACCGCAUAAUGAAAAAGGAGUAUCAGAAUGAUCCAUAUUGUCAGUAUUUUUCUGAGAGAUAUUCUAGAUGUCGACUGAGAUGCAUCAAUAUUUGUGGUUUAAUGGACGAACACAAGGCCUAUAUCAAAUGUUACUUGGCUCACAUGUUAUUCUGUCAUAUGGAACAAAGAUAUUUCAACUCAUUUUGUCCUCAAAGAUUUCCUUUUAUUGAGAUUGCAACGGGAAGGUGGCUUCAGAUGGCUAAAAAUGAAGUUGCAUUAGAAGUUGUAUCCAAUUGUGAAACUCUCAAGUUUGUGUGUUGAUGUUUGGCUUAAUGAAUCAUUUGGAUACAAUUUGGGACCAAAGUGCGUGAAUUGGAGCGAAAAUCGGACGAAAAGGCAAAAGUGCGAAUUUGAGGGCCACAGGCAGCGUGGGGUGCUACCGGUGGCGCUCAAAAUAGAAUGCUAAAAAAUUGAGCGCCAGGGCCAGUGCCCCACGCUGCCCUGGACGCUCAAAACGUGAACAUGUCCUAUUUCGCCCGGGACUUAGUUAUUUCGGCCCUACACGGUCCCAACUCGUAUAAAGGGGAUCCUAAACCUAUUUUGGAGAGGGAUGACGUUUUUGUGAGUAACUUUUGACCAAGGGAGAGCACAGAGCCGUCGUGGAGGCGGGGUUUUAUCUUUUCUUCCACCAAACUUAGUAAUUUUUAUGUUUCUUUGUAUGAUUUGUUGUUUUGCUACCAUUUCAAUGUGGAGCUUAACUUAACGUUCUAGGAUCGUGGU